rnacentral:lncRNA from 1 species
GUUUCUUUCAUAUUUAUGGAAGUCCGAGUCUUCACUCUAAAGCACAUCUCCUAAGGAUAAUACAGUAAUCUCCCAUAUUGUCUAGCAAAAUCACAUCCAGUUCCAUAUACAUCCUGGCUCCCAUUUAGUAAAAGUAUAACUGAAAUUUGAUUCACAGUUAAUGCAUUAAGCUAAGUUGCAAGAAUCUGCCGGUGGCUUUAAAACCAUUAUAGAAGGGAAUACGCUGGCGUUAUCUCGAUGCAAUUCAGAUGACUCUCAUAACAUAAUCUGUCAUUAUAAAGAUAAAUGCAGAUUAGCUACUAUAAUUACUAAGAAAUCAAAUAGAGAUGAGGCCUAGUUAUUUAAGGAUCAUAUCCGAAUAGCUGUAUCAUCCGACAAAGGAAAGAAAAAUAAUAAGCAGUGAAUAAUUAACAGAGCCAAAUACAGGGUUCAGUUGAGAGAAAUUUAGAGGGAUUGAACCGUUAUCUAUGUCCAAGUACCAAAAUAGCAAUAAUUAUUGUAUACUGCAGUUGUUGGCAAAUAGAGCUGAAUUUAUACAAUGUUCAAGUUCUUGUUCUCAUUCAAAUAAGCAUCGAUAGAUUUAUCAAAAAAUAAUGAGAGCAACAAUAACAAAUUUUUCAGUUUAUAGUUUAAUUCUUGACAAUAAGUAUUGCACUUAAGAACUUGUGAAAACUUGGUAUAAGAUUCUUGAUUAGAAGUCUGCACAUAAUACAUGAAGAAACAUAAAGGGGCAAUAUAGCUUUGGGGCUUGCCUUUUUCAAAAACACAAAAAAGGAUGAACCACAUCUUUUCCCUUGUCAAAUAAAUCCAAUGAGGGAAAAACAUUGACGCUAAGUAACUACUACAUGAAAUUUUAAAAAAUGAACUUAAGGAUACGCAAGCUCGCCGGACACGAUUAUUUAAAAAGUUAGUAAUAUACAUAGAGAUCACACAUGCAUUACUAUUAUGUAUAUAUAUGAUAUAUGAGGAAAGAAGGAAAUAGCAGAUUUAAUAUUCUAACAUGUUUCUCAAAUAGAACAGGAGGUUGUAAUAGCAAGACUACCCUGCAAUUGAGAGGCAAUUGACAUGAUUUAUGUUUGGAAGAAGACGAUUACGUGUUGCCUCUCGAUUUUUGAGGCAUUGUUGCAGACAAAAUUGCUCCUUUCUCAGGCAUUGUCAUAUGAUAAUAGAUCUCCCGGCUUUUGACAUCCUUAUCAUGAGCUUCCUUCACCGUGCGAGGCCUUUUUGUUUGGGACGAUCCAUUUGAAGUGUCAAUACUAAGAUCAUCCUAAAAACCUGUAACGUUAUAAUUAUUCUAUUUCAUCAGACAAUCAUUUACUACAAAUAAAGAAAGAAAAUAAAAAGAUACCACUUAACAUAGAUAAAUAGCAGUAUGGUAUAAAGAAUAUACUUUUAACACUUAACUACUUGGGAAAUUACUUUCACUCUAGACGGACAAUAGAUAAAUGCAUUAGAUCAAGGUGAUGGUUGUGGA